rnacentral:rRNA from 1 species
CUUAAUGAACUGCAAAGGAAGAUGAUUUAUCUUAUUUUAUGCUUUUGCACCGUUGGAAUUCGUUUUCUGAUAGUGGAGUAAGUUUGUGUUUACUUUGAGAAAAUUAGAGUGUUCAAAGCAGUCUUACGGCUUUAUAUUAAAGCAUGGAAUGAUAAAUAAUGACAUCGGUUAAUUUUUGUUGGUUUGAGAGGCUGAUGUAAUGAUUUAUAGAGUUAGUCGGAGGUAUUAGUAUUUUGUCGUUAGAGGUGAAAUUCCGGGAUCGACAAAAGACUAACAACUGCGAAAGCAUUUGCCUAGAAUUUGCUCCUUGAUCAAGAACGUAAGUUGGGGGAUCGAAGACGAUCAGAUACCGUCGUAGUCUCAACUUUAAACUAUAUCAGCUAGGGGUUGGCAAAUGUUUAUAUGACUUUGUUAGAACCUUAUGAGAAAUCAAAGCGUUUGGGUUCCGGGGGGAGUAUGGUCGCAAGG